AUUUUCUCUCUGGUUGAAAUAGGAUAAAGGCAAAACAUGGAUGAGUCUAUCAGUAUGGACCUAUUUAUGCUUAUAAAUGCUGACUUUUAGUAUCUGUUGAGUCCUGUUAGGAUUGUCCGUGAAAUUGUUCCUAGGCCCUUCCGCUCCUAGUGCUGUCUCUGUGAUGCGGGACCUGCCGGCUGCAUCUAGGUAGUUAAAGGUGGUCCUUCCGGUUCCCAGCUCUGUCUUCCGCUUCCUGGUCCUGGCCCAAUGAGGGGCUCUUUACUCCGUGUUCUCACCUCCUUGCCCUCUGCACUGUGAUGAACCGAAAUCCUGCUGGAACCAUGAGUCAGUGUGUCUUUCCUUCUAAAUAAGACAUUGCAUUGGAGAUGUGAUUGGGGCAUGAAAGGAAGUAUAUCAGUAGACUCCUGGUGGAGGAGACAGCCUGGACUCACACUAACACAGCAAUGUAUAAGUGGGUAUUUGCAGUACUCAAAUAGAGUGAAGAAACUCCGACUUCCAGGCCCUUUCUGCAAUCAAGAAUGAUACAACUUGCUAGUGAGCUGGGUGUGUCUGGCCCUUGAGAAUCUCUGGAGGUGUCCCUGAAGCACCAGAGUGGACUUUGCCAGUACUUAGGGGUUGGGGAUCACAUGCUCAUGGUCAUCUCUGGUGCCAAUGGAUUACCGGAUUUGGGUUUUGGGGAGCAGUAGUAAUUUUGCAUUUCUUCUUUCUUACGAGUCUCUCAGUGUGAAACGUGCAGCUCAGGCUUCCUUAGUUUCAUCAUUUACACACGUCUGAGGGAAAGCAUUUACAUAUGCAGUUACACUUGACUGAAGUGGGGGGAGGGAAGAGCAAGAUCAAGGCUUUACACUGGAGGGACAAAAACCAUUUUGUAAUUUGAUAUCCAGAUAUCCGUGUUCUUUAAAGGCUCUUGGCUACAGGCUGAGGAUUUGGCCAGGGAUCUCACAUAGGGCCAGGGUCACAUACCAACCAUCUGCUUACUUUUUCUAAUCCCAGCCAAGUUUUUCUCUUUUCUUCCAUUCUGUCUCUUUUUCCCAGUUCUGUUUCUGGAGGAAGCACAGCUUUCAGCUCACCCUUUGCUACUUCGUUUCCUGGGAACUCUUGCCCUCGAGUGGGUCUGCCCUCCCCACUGAUCUCUGUCUACAUAGCAGCACAGAAGUGGGGAUGCACGGGCUCGGGCUCGCACACACGUGUCCGUGCGCACAUGGGCACCCCCACAGGUUGAUCACCUCCUAAGUACUAGAACACCCUUGAAAGUAAAAGUGGCAAUGGUAGUAAUUUUCCUCAGCCAUAAGGCAAAACUCUGAUUGUUCUUUGUAAAGUAGAAAUUUGCCAUUUUUCAAGUGAUUUUGUUAUCCAGACAUAAUUUUCUCCUUCAGAGGAAUUCUGGUGUUAGCUAAUAAAACUUUUUUUUUCCACUCCA